rnacentral:rRNA from 1 species
UACGUAGGGUGCAAGCGUUAAUCGGAAUUACUGGGCGUAAAGCGUGCGCAGGCGGUGAUGUAAGACAGUUGUGAAAUCCCCGGGCUCAACUGGGAACUGCAUCUGUGACUGCAUCGCUGGAGUACGGUAGAGGGGGAUGGAAUUCCGCGUGUAGCAGUGAAAUGCGUAGAUAUGCGGAGGAACACCGAUGGCGAAGGCAAUCCCCUGGACCUGUACUGACGCUCAUGCACGAAAGCGUGGGGAGCAAACAGG